AUCUUUAAUCCAUAAAAAAUGAUCUGUGUGGUUCUUACAGUAUCUGUUUUGCCCAAAAGGUUCCAAUCACAUUUCUAAGUCAAGUUGCUGACUGAUAUUUGUAUAUAUAGUUUGUGAGAUAUUCUGAUUUGCCUUUUACUUUAUUCACUAAGUGAAUAUAAUUAAGUGAAAUAAAUUGCCUUUCGAUUCUAGUUUAUUGACUUUCUGUGUAUAAAUAUUUAUCUCUACACAGGAUGAAACGGCUGACUGAUGGAUCGGGUCUGGUGUUAUUUCACUUUCUGGAUGAUCAGGAUCUUUCAGAUCUCAUCUACCUUCUGAUCCGAUGGAGCUGCUGCAGGAACACACUGAUCCUCUAACAGGAUCCUCAGAUCCAGGCAUCGAUGUCUGGUGUCCUGCAACAUUUAGAUACGUCCUGGUCCAACACGCCUGAAUUAAAUGGCUGCUUAGGACAGUCAAGUCCUCCAGAGUCGUGCUAAUGACCUCUGACCUCAUGAUUUGACUCAGGUGCAUUAAAGAAUAGACAUCUAAAGAUUGGAGGACACCGACCCUUAUAAACUGGAGUUAAAGCCCUGCUGUACAAUUUUCACUUAAUCGUAAUUACAUUUAUUUGCGUACAGUGGAAAUUUUACCUGUGUUGAGGUAGAUGAGUUUACAUAGCGUCUUUACUUUAAAACCAUUUUGGUUUCCAUUUGUUGAAAGUAAAUUACAAACAUUUAGCCAUAGUUUGACCACUGCUUUAUGACAGAAAAAAAGUUUGAUGUCACAAAUAUAUGAUUUUAAUAGAGGCAUCAUUCAAUUUAUACAGUAGAAAGAAGAUGACAAGUGUUUCCUGAAUUAACUUUAAUGUUCAUUUCACUGCACACAAAGGACAGAUUAAAUAUUUAAGAUUGCAACAAAUCUGUUGAAUCUUUAACAAAAUAGGUUCAGAUUAACAUGGGUGGAUUCACAGCUACCUAAAGUUAACAAUGAAAUGUCUUCAAACUUACAUGGAUGUUCAAAUAUUUACUAUAAUCAAUUAACAAAAGAAAACACCAUAAAGCUGUGUAUUCAAAUACGACCAAGGCCAGUCUGUACAGAUUGAGGAUAUACCAUAACAUCUACCAACAGAGCAGGUUAACUACUGUAGUUUGAAAGGCAUCUUGGUUCAGUUGACGGCUCAGUUUGAAGCUUCAGGUUUUGGUGUUGAACCUCCUGGAAUCUCAGCUGCUGCAGAUUGGUUCAGAGA